GCCCCUAUGGCUCAGUGGUAGAGUUUAUCACUUGUAAACACGCAAGUUAUGAUACGGUCCUUCGUUCGAUCCGGAGUGGGGGCA